rnacentral:lncRNA from 1 species
CCGGACGGCCCCGGGUUGAAGCGGCGGCGGAAGAGCCCGCGGCUGUCGGCGGCGCGGCCGGACGAGCCCGGGGACGAGGUGGACAGCGCGGCCCAGCCCGGCGCGCUGCACGGGGACGAGCAUCCCUUCGGGACCCCGGACUCCCUGACGCGACCCCCUAUAAGAGCGUACCGAUCGCCAGGUGGUACUUCAGUUUACUUUGAAGAGAAUCCAGUAAAGGAAAAUGCAAAGGCUUAUGACAGUAACAAAACUGAGAAACCACACAUUUCUGCACCAUUAAAAGGUAGCAGCUUUUAUCAGUGCUUUUUCCAUGGUGUAACAAAUUAUUGCUUAAAUGUAUUAAAAUUACAAUCAUUCAGUUCUUUUAGAAAAGGUAGAGUUUUUGAGUUGAAAUCUGAAUGGAUGAAAAAGAGUUUAUUUAAAAAAAAUGGUUUAAGUGUGUACUCCUGCCUGAGCCAAAGUAAAACUGGUUAUAUAAUAUGAUGAUAAUUUGAUUGGGUGAAAAACCUUAAACUCAAGAAAAGGCAGAUUUCAACUUCGAUAAAUACCCAAAUGUGUGGUUUUUGAAAAGCAAAACAAAAAGAAGAGUAAUAUCAUACCUGCUUCAAAAAACUUAGGAGAGUGGACCUUUAAUUGCACUAGGCAAAGAAAAUGAAAACUGUUCUUUUCCUGAAGAGGUGAGCUAUCUUUGACUUUAGCAUGGGCAAUGACUACACCAAGUAAUUUCAAGGUGAGGGAGCACUUUGCUCA